CCUGAAUUUUGCUAUUAGAAAUUGUAUCUUUGAUGUUGAAAUAUUCCCCGUUACAGGUGUAAAAACUGUUGGGUCCAGGAAGCACUGCUCACAGUGCUGUUCUCAGAUGCCCAUUAUUGGGAAAGGUUAAAGGCCCUUGCCAGGGGAAUAUACUGUUGACUGUUACUGUUAUCAAGUUACAAUGUGAUUUCCCCACAUCACCCCCUUUAGUGUGCGUCAUGGUAAUGUUGUUUUUGGAGAUCUACCUUGGACCAAGAAAGCAUUUAACUUUUCCCUUGUUCCUUUUCCAGGACCCUGAGGACCGAAACAAGAUGUCAGUAGUUACUGAAGGCUCUCAGAAUCAUGGACACAAUCCUCCCAUGAAGUCUGAAGGGCUUCGCCGAC
rnacentral:lncRNA from 1 species